GGUGAACGCUGGCGGCGUGCCUAAUACAUGCAAGUCGAGCGAACAGACGAGGAGCUUGCUCCUCUGACGUUAGCGGCGGACGGGUGAGUAACACGUGGAUCACCAUCUUAUUAGACUGGGAGAACUUCGUGAAACCGGAGCUAAUACCGGAUAAUAUAUUGAACCGGAUGGUUCAAUAGUGAUAGACGGUUUUCCUGUCACUUAUAGAUGGUUCCGCGCCGCAUUAGCUAGUUGGUAAGGUAACGGCUUACCAAGGCCACGAUGCGUAUCUGACCUGAGAGGAUGAUCAGCCACACUGGAACUGAGACACGGUCCAGACUCCUACGGGAGGCAGCAGUAGGGAAUCUUCCGCAAUGGGCGAAAGCCUGAUGGAGCAAUGCCGCGUGAGUGAUGAAGGUCUUCGGAUCGUAAAACUCUGUUAUUAGGGAAGAAAAAAUGUAUAAGUAAAUCUGCACGUCUUGACGGUACCUAAUCAGAAAGCCACGGCUAACUUCGUG
rnacentral:rRNA from 1 species